rnacentral:rRNA from 1 species
UAACGAAUAUUCCGCAAUGCGCGAAAGCGUGACGGAGCAAUGCCGCGUGUGGGAUGAAGCAUCUAGGUGUGUAAACCACUGUCAGGAGUUACCAAGUUCUGAGGAGCUCCAAAGGAAGGACCGGCUAACUUCGUGCCAGCAGCCGCGGUAAUACGAAGGGUCCAAGCGUUAAUCGGAAUCACUGGGCUUAAAGGGUGCGCAGGCGGAUACGCAAGUGCCUUGUGAAAUCCCACCGGUCAACGGUGGAAUUGCUCGGCAGACUGCGUGUCUUGAACCCGACAGGGGCUGUCGGAACUGUAGGUGGAGCGGUGAAAUGCGUAGAUAUCUACAGGAACGCCAAAGGCGAAGGCAGGCAGCUGGGUCGGUGUUGACGCUCAGGCACGAAAGCGUGGGGAGCGAACG